rnacentral:lncRNA from 1 species
UGCAAAACUUAUUCGAGAAUCAGAUCUAAAUGCAUGCACCAGUUCUAUCUCUUACGCUGUCAUCUAAUUCCUUCAGAUUAAAAGAUACAUCCAAUUAAAAUUGCUUGAAAAUGAAGAGUUCACUUUUUCUAAACCAUUUCAAACCCCAAACAUUGUCUAAUAUCAAAUUACCAGGGUGUGACGAACUUCUUAGAAGUUAUUGCACUUUAUAAUACUCAAUAAGAGGUUCUUUUCCCUUUAGAUAAGGAAGAGCAUAAAUCAUAUAAGAAAUUUAUAA